GAUGAACGCUGGCGGCGUGCCUAAUACAUGCAAGUCGAGCGAACAGAUGAGGAGCUUGCUCCUCUGACGUUAGCGGCGGACGGGUGAGUAACACGUGGAUAACCUACCUAUAAGACUGGGAUAACUUCGGGAAACCGGAGCUAAUACCGGAUAAUAUAUUGAACCGCCUGGUUCAAUAGUGAAAGACGGUUUUGCUGUCACUUAUAGAUGGAUCCGCGCCGCAUUAGCUAGUUGGUAAGGUAACGGCUUACCAAGGCAACGAUGCGUAGCCGACCUGAGAGGGUGAUCGGCCACACUGGAACUGAGACACGGUCCAGACUCCUACGGGAGGCAGCAGUAGGGAAUCUUCCGCAAUGGGCGAAAGCCUGACGGAGCAACGCCGCGUGAGUGAUGAAGGUCUUCGGAUCGUAAAACUCUGUUAUUAGGGAAGAACAAAUGUGUAAGUAACUAUGCACGUCUUGACGGUACCUAAUCAGAAAGCCACGGCUAACUACGUG
rnacentral:rRNA from 1 species